rnacentral:lncRNA from 1 species
GAUAGACAGUAAUCCAAAGUGUUUUGCCUUCCCAAACACAAUCCAUAAUUCGUCUACCCCUAUGUCACGGAAUAGCGAAACAGUAAUGACAGCAUCAUCGAUCAGUAACGACUGUUCGAAUCAUGACUCGUUUAAGUUCGUGUUUCACUGCAUCAGACACAUGCACCAUGAUUCUAGUGUCAGCCUCUUAAUGUGAACAUGGUGCUAAAUUUGAAAUACAUCACGUGGUAGAUAACACUGAAAAUCCUGAGCAUUUGUUGCUACAACUACCAUACUCAUAAAAAAAUUCAUCCAUUCUUGUUACAGUUUCAAGGUAUUUUAUUAAGGUAAGGACAUAAUAAUCAGCAUACUCGUUAGGAAACACC